CUGAUGUGGAGAAAUGUUUGAUGCUUCAAGACUCUCUGAAGCUGAUUAUAUUAGGUGCACCCAGUGGCUUUUGACUAGGCCUAUUCGAGGGUCACAUGGUUGUGAAUUCAUACCUCAACUUUGCAGCUGGAUUUUCAGUCUUAUUACAACUUCUGUCUGGCGUCCCGGGAGCACGCAUCUUUUGCACACUUGAAUUAAUUUCAAAGAUGUUUUGUUGGAAUCACAACACUCACUGGAUACAAGACGGAUACAUAGAGGCAAAACAAGUGGAAAGGUCUCAGAGAAGAGGGACAACCCUCAUGUGUGUGCUCAUCUCAGAAAGUUGAUGGACUUUCAGUAUGUAUUUAUUAAAUUGUCUUUUGCAGGAAUAUUCUAAAUUUAAUAUAA